AGCGAACGCUGGCGGCAGGCCUAACACAUGCAAGUCGAGCGCCGUAGCAAUACGGAGCGGCAGACGGGAGAGUAACACGUGGGAACGUGCCCUUUGGUUCGGAACAACCCAGGGAAACUUGGGCUAAUACCGGAUAAGCCCUCACGGGGAAAGAUUCAUCGCCGAAGGAUCGGCCCGCGUCUGAUUAGCUAGUUGGUGGGGUAAUGGCCCACCAAGGCGACGAUCAGUAGCUGGUCUGAGAGGAUGAUCAGCCUCACUGGGACUGAGACACGGCCCAGGCGCCUACGGGAGGCAGCAGUGGGGAAUAUUGGACAAUGGGCGCAAGCCUGAUCCAGCCAUGCCGCGUGGGUGAUGAAGGCCCUAGGGUUGUAAAGCCCUUUCGGCGGGGAAGAUAAUGACGGUACCCGCAGAAGAAGCCCCGGCUAACUUCGUGCCAGCCGCCGCAGUAACAC
rnacentral:rRNA from 1 species